GGGCCACUGAAGACAGGAUCCGUGAUGACCUCCACCAUGGGCUGGUCCCCUCUCCUCCUGACCCUCCUCGCUCACUGCACAGGUUCCUGGGCCCAGUCUGUGCUGACUCAGCCGGCCUCAGUGUCUGGGUCCCUGGGCGAGAGGGUCACCAUCUCCUGCACUGGAAGCAGCUCCAACAUCGGUGGAUAUUAUGUGAGCUGGUACCAACAGCUCCCUGGAACAGGUCCCAGAACCGUCAUCUAUAGUAGUAGUAACCGACCCUCAGGCGUCCCUGAUCGAUUCUCUGGCUCCAAAUCAGGCAGCACAGCCACCCUGACCAUCUCUGGGCUCCAGGCUGAGGACGAGGCUGAUUAUUACUGCUCUACGUGGGAGAGUAGUCUCAGUGCUGGCACAGUGCUCCAUGCCUGUGAGGAAGUGAGACAAAAACCCAUUUACCCAUCUGCAAUGUGA